rfam:Lupinus angustifolius cultivar Tanjil chromosome LG03, whole genome shotgun sequence.
CUUACAAAGUUUUUUGGCAUUCUGUCCACCUCCAUCAAUGAUAUCUAGUUAUGGUAAUCUUUAUAUGGAGGUGGGUAUAGUGCCAACAGAACUGUGUUAG